rnacentral:rRNA from 1 species
CGAGUCUGCCUUGAAGAUCGGAGUGCUUGCACUCUGUGAAACAAGAUACAGGCUAGCGGCGGACGGGUGAGUAACACGUGGGUAACCUGCCCAAGAGAUAGGGAUAACACCUGGAAACAGAUGCUAAUACCGGAUAACAACAGAUGAUGCCUAUCAACUGUUUAAAAGAUGGUUCUGCUAUCACUCUUGGAUGGACCUGCGGUGCAUUAGCUAGUUGGUAGGGUAACGGCUUACCAAGGCGAUGAUGCAUAGCCGAGUUGAGAGACUGAUCGGCCACAUUGGGACUGAGACACGGCCCAAACUCCUACGGGAGGCAGCAGUAGGGAAUCUUCCACAAUGGACGCAAGUCUGAUGGAGCAACGCCGCGUGAGUGAAGAAGGGUUUCGGCCCGUAAAGCUCUGUUGUUGGUGAA